GGGGGAUCUGUGGAUGGCACAUAGGAAGGGGUGGGGUUUAGAUAGAAAAGGGUUUGGCCUUGACAUUAAGGGGUGGGUCAAAUUUAUAUUAGGGGGGUGCCCGAGUUUAGUCUCGCCUAGGGCAGCACAAAACCAAGAUACACCAC